CUUGGGUCUGUCACAUGAAAGGGUUUGUAUUCCUGCCGCUGGCCGGCUCCUGGCCAGGCUGGGGCUGUUCUCACCAGAAAACAAAAAUGUCUUUCAGACCAAAGCAAAACGAGGCCCCAGCUGGCCCAGGCAGGCCAUUGGGCGUUGUUCACACUGACCCACUAUGAACACCAAUCACUGGGGCUCUCACUUUGCACCCACUGGAAGGAACCCAUCAUCUUUGGAGACGGAACUGGAGGCCUCGGUGGCUGCUGAGGAAAGCACUACCAGCCAGAACACUGCUUCUCUGACACCCCAUGGUCACCAGGAGCUGCCUAUUAACCACAGCACAGACCUUGUGCCCUGUGGAGCAUGGAUGCCACUCAGACUCCCACUACCAGGAGAAAUAGCACAGCAAGAUCUCAAGCACACAUGUGGCCGUUGAGCCUGAGAGGACAUCUAGGACAAAACCACUUUGGAGUUGAUUUUGAACCAACAGGCCCCAAGAUUCACAUGAAUUAGGAGCUACACAAAGGAAGUAGGCCCAGGAAUAACCACACCUACCACGGAUCUCCCGAGGCAGCCGAGCAAAUGAUGAGGAACCACCCCUGGGCAUCCUGAAGGACAACCCCAAGGGCUCAAAGCAGCAUCUCAUCCACAGCACUCCCCUAACCCCACCAAUCUGUGGACCCAGUGGAUGGUUAGUGGGAACUCUGGCGAGGCCAACGCAAGGAAUGGGAGCAUCACACCAGACCAUCCAGUGAGGUGAGGACCUUGACUGGGAAUUCCUCUCAUCUAUGCUUGGCAGAGUGGCCCAAGCUCCCAAUCUGUCAGGUGACUGGAACCUUGGAGCUCUAAGGAAGCAGCAGCCCUCAGAGAAGACUCUCUUCCACAAAACUGGUCACCCAGAAGCUGUGGGUUCACUAGUUGAUUCAUUCAUUCAUUCAACAAACACUUCUGGAGCACCUCCUUCUAUUCCAGGCUGCACUGGUUCUCAGCACACAGGGUUCUCCAGUGAAGGGUAACCUGGCCCUGCCUGCAAGGAGUUUACACCUGCUUUUCCCUACUGCUUCUAACAUAUUGGCAUCAUCCCCCACCUGGGCACAGAGCCUAGCAUCCUAGCAGGAGCACACUCAAAAUCUGUUGUUUACUGAUUGACUUGUGGUAAGGAAACAGCUUAUAAAACACAUUAUUAAAAUAAAUUACGCUCAGGGAAUUCUUUAGUUUAUGCAAUAAACUCUUAUGUACCCUGUGUGCCCAACUCUGGGUUGGGGACAUAGACAUGAGACACCUGGCCCUGCCCUCAAGGAGACCAUGGACUUGUGGAGGAGGCUUCUGGAGCACAGGAAUAGUGUCACCUUGGUCAUCCACAUGCCCAGUUCUACCCACACCUCCUUGACAUAACCGCUGCACAGAAUAAAGCCAAUGCUGUUUGGCCUGUUAUCCUAGGCCUGCAGAGCCCACCUCUGGCAACCUCACUGGCCCAGCAGAAUUGGUCCUUCAACUUCAUUCAGUCCUAUUGCCAAUCUUCCCUCACACAGGUCCCUUGGCCUGGAAUGCCUUUUCUUUUCCUACUCCCUUUCUGCAUGUCAGAAUCCUGGAUCCCCU
rnacentral:lncRNA from 10 species